rnacentral:lncRNA from 1 species
GCAGAGUAUGCCUGAUGGAGAUUUUAAUAUAACAAAAUUAUGAGAUUUUAAGAAUUAUCAAGAUCAUUUAACCAAGUUUGCCAUAAUCUAAUAUCUAUCUUAAAAAAUAGCUGGCUAAGUUGCCUAUAAAUUUCUCAAAAAUGUUUUUCUCAAUUUUGGAUUUAUAUCAUUGUCUUGCAUGCUCAAAAUGAUUUUUAGGGAGUUUCAAAACUUAUAAAACAACCAUUUUCCAGUUUCAAUUCACAAACACUGAAGUGUAUGCACUUUUAAUGUGCCUUAUAAUCCUUGAUCCUUAAGUAAGCCCUAAAAAUCCCUACCCCUUACUUUCUUAUUUGAUAUCUUGAAUUAUGUCUUUAAUUUUUAAACAAAAAUAUCAAGUUAGUAAAUAGCUGUAAAAAUG